rnacentral:rRNA from 1 species
CAGGGUACUCGAGUGGCGAACGGGUGAGUAACACGUGGGUGAUCUGCCCUGCACUUCGGGAUAAGCCUGGGAAACUGGGUCUAAUACCGGAUAGGAGCCAUUUUUAGUGUGAUGGUUGGAAAGUUUUUUAGGUGUAGGAUGAGCUCGCGGCCUAUCAGCUUGUUGGUGGGGUAAUGGCCUACCAAGGCGGCGACGGGUAGCCGGCCUGAGAGGGUGGACGGCCACAUUGGGACUGAGAUACGGCCCAG